AUGCUCUGGGAAUCCAAGUCAGCCUGGAGAGAGUCAAAGAGCCUCCAUCUUCUGCUGGUCCAAAGUCAAGUGAAACGGAAUUUCCCUUUUUUUCUGGCCUAUAAAACUGUCACCUUCUUGAGACAUCAGUCAGCUGUAGGCGCCCAAAAGCAAUGCUCUGACCGAGGGCGAGGGCAGGGCAGCGGCGCUGGCCGUCCCCCAGGACGCGGUCAGGAGCAGAGCGGCACCGUCCCACGACGUCCCUCUGGGCCCUGAGGCUGCCCCGGGCAGAGCCACUGGAGCUGCUGGCCCUGGCCACGGCCCUCCCGUCCCUCUGUCAUACACAGCUGAAAACCUGGUUUUGUUUCUUUCCUUCCACCCAUUCAAAGGCAACCCCUGCUUCUUUGAAGAGAUGGUGGUUAAAACCAGAAUAAUAUUUUUUUUUCCAGUUUGCUUGUGUUUUGGAGAGUGGUGCCAUUACAGUGCUGUCUCAGCAGGCUUCAGUGAUGGUGAUGAUGGUCUCUGCUGAGGCACUGCAGCCUCUGGUUUCACCUGUGAAUGGCUUUAGAAGAGAGGCACUUCCCAGUGCCUGCUCUGGAAGGAGAGGAUCUCCACUUCAAGCAGCCUCAGCUAGGGCAGUGAGAGUAGCUGUGUGUGAAGGCCAGAAAAUGAGAAAAUAGCUCUUUAAAAAAAAAAAAAAAGAAGAAAAAAAAAAGGUCACAGUAAGGGACUGAGGGAGCACUUAAAAUGAAGAUAUCAGCAAUGAAGUGGAGAUAUAUCAAUUCUAGUGGCCUGUAUAAACAGACAAGAGGAAUUGUAGCUGGUCACUUACAACCGUGUAAAUUUAAUUAAAUUGGUAUAGCUUGCAGGAAAUACAGAGUAUUGAAUAUUACCAUUAGUGGCUCUUUCUGCUCUUUUGGAAGAAGGAAGCGGGCAGAAGGCACAGGGAAAUGGCACUUAGACCAGAGUGCAUUACCCUUCUCAGUCACACACAAUUAAUACAAAUGAGCCACCAGAGUUUGAGCUCAGUUUUCUAAUAGCUAAAAUACGACAUAAGGCACUUGGCCAUGUCUGCUAGGAAAACAAAUCGCCCAGAGUCCUGUUAACUCUGUUGCAGUGCGUGCUCGCAGGGUGGGAGGGAGGUGGGCUUAUGGAGGAGCAGAUCUCCGGCAUCGCGGGGUCCUCCCCUCCGAGACACGGAGGUGCGAGGGCUCCAGUGUUGGGAUGAGGUUGCUCUGGGUGUUUCUUAAAAACUAUGGUUCACAUUUCCUUAGCU
rnacentral:lncRNA from 1 species